AUGUACCACUCGUACACUCCGGUUCCUGUGCGCCGCCCGCACCCACCUGACGACUGCUUCGCCCGCC
rnacentral:sRNA from 1 species